CACACCUUGUGUAAACAUCUCCCAAUAAUCUCCCGUACUCACAAUACUGGUGUAUUAAAUACAAUACACUAUAGCCUACACCUUUAGCCUACACAAUACAGGUAAUACAAUGCACAAUACACUAUAGCCUACACAAAGCAGGUAAUACAAUGCACAAUACACUAUACCCUACACAAUACAGGUAAUACAAUACACUAUAGCCUACACCUUUAGCCUACACAAUACAGGUAAUACAAUACACUAUAGCCUACACCUUUAGCCUACACAAUACAGGUAAUACAAUACACUAUAGCCUACACCUUUAGCCUACACAAUACAGGUAAUACAAUGCACAAUACACUAUGGCCUACACCUUUAGCCUACACAAUAUAGGUAAUACAAUGCACAAUACACUAUAUCUUACACAAAACAGGUAAUACAAUGCACAAUACACUAUAGGCUACACAAAAAAGGUAAUACAAUAAAUAAUACCCUAUAGCCUACACAAGUACACAAGACAGGUAAUACAAUACACAAUACACUAUAGCCUAUACAAUACAGGUAAUACAAUAUUUCCAUUAGUUCUUUGCUUCAACUACUUCCCACGGUCUUAGCAUAUUCAGCCAUUUUGUUAUGAUUAUUCAGUCAUGUUAUGAGAGUGGCUGAUGGUUUGGUCCGGGCUCUGCAUGGUUUGGUCCAGGCUCUGAGAAGAGGAGGGGAGGAGAGAAAAAACAGCUGUGGCCCCUGCUGGGGGCCUCUCCUGCCAUGUGCAGGGUUAACCCCAUCCCUCAUCAACCACACACACACUGCUCUGCUCUGGCUAGCAAUAUAUAUAUAUUGCUAGCCAGAGCAAAUCAAAAUCAAAUCAAAUGUAUUUAUAUAGCCCUUCGUACAUCAGCUGAUAUCUCAAAGUGCUGUACAGAAACCCAGCCUAAAACCCCAAACAGCAAGCAAUGCAUGUGAAAGAAGCACGGUGGCUAGGAAAAACUCCCUAGGAAAAAACUCCCUUGAAAGGCCAAAAACCUAGGAAGAAACCUAGAGAGGAACCAGGCUAUGAGGGGUGGCCAGUCCUCUUCUGGCUGUGCCGGGUGGAUAUUAUAACAGAACAUGGUCAAGAUGUUAAAAUGUUCAUAAAUGACCAGCAUGGUCUAAUAAUAAUAAUCAUAGUAGUUGUCGAGGGUGC
rnacentral:lncRNA from 1 species